GCUGGAGUGCAGUGGCUCGAUCUCGGCUAACUACAACCUCCGCAUCCCCAGUUCAAUCGAUUCUCCUGCCUCAGCCUCCCAAGUAGCUGGGAUUACAGGUACCCGCCACCACAUCCAGCUAAUUUUUGUAUUUUUAGUAGAGACAGGGUUUCACCAUAUUGUCCAGG